rnacentral:misc_RNA from 1 species
GUGGAAGAUCCGAGGACAAAGGUUCCUCAAUGUAAAGGGAAGUUCUUAGAUGUUAAUCAAGCUCUUGAAGUGGCUAGAUAUGACAUUCAAUACUGUGAUUGGCGAGCUCGGCAAGAUGUUCUUGCAAUCAUGCUUCUCCAUGAAAAGGUUGUGGAAGUCCUAAAUCCUCUAGCCCGUGACUAUAAAUCUAUCGGAACAAUGAAGAAAGAGCUUGCCGGAUUACAGGACGAAUUAGCAGAAGCUCAUAGACAGGUUCAUAUAUCUGAAGCACGGGUU